rnacentral:rRNA from 1 species
GCUUACGACCAACACCGGCCUGAGUACGCCUGAUCUCGCUGAUCUCGGAAGCUAAACAGGGUUGGGGCCUGGUUAGUACUUGGAUGGGAGACUUCCUGGGAAUACCAGGUGCUGUAAGCU